UAUGUAUUACCAAUAUAGCAAUGGAGUACGAGUGUGGAUCUUUAAAAAGGAAUAGUAGUGUUGCCCCCUUCUCUCUUUUUAUUUCUUCUUUUUAUUUUUUGUGUGGCCUCUUUGGCUCUUUCUUUUUAUCUCUCAUUUGUCCUCUUUGGGAUCUUUUGUUUUGUCCUCUUUGGGAUCUUUUCCUCACUUAAGGGCGACACUCUAUGUUUUACAUGAAUAAAAAUAAAAA
rnacentral:lncRNA from 1 species